rnacentral:rRNA from 1 species
GAUGAACGCUGGCGGCGUGCCUAAUACAUGCAAGUCGAGCGAACGGACGUGAAGCUUGUUUUUCUGUUGUUAUCGGCGGACGGGUGAGUAACGCGUAGAUAACCUAUCUAUAAGCCUGGGCUAACUUCGAGAAACCGGAGCUAAUACCGGAUAAUAUUUUGAACCGCAUGGUUCAAAAGUGAAAGACGGUCUUGCUGUUACUUAUAGAUGGAUCCGCGCUGCAUUAGCUAGUUGGUAAGGUAACGGCUUACCACGGCAACGAUGCAUAGCCGACCUGAGAGUGUGAGCGGCCACACUGGAACUGAGACACGGAUCAGACUCAGACGGGAGGGAGAAGUAGGGAAUCUGCCGCAAGGGGCGAAAGCGUAACGGAGAAACGCCGAGUGAGUGAUGAAGGUCUUCGGAUCGGAAAACUCUGUUACUAGGGAAGAACAUAUGUGUAAGUAACUGUGCACAUCUUGACGGUACCUAAACAGAAAGCCACGGCUAACUACGUG